rnacentral:rRNA from 1 species
AUUGAACGCUGGCGGCAGGCCUAACACAUGCAAGUCGAGCGGAACGGCGGACGGGUGGGUAAUGACUAGGAGUCUGCCUGCCAGAGGGGGGUAACUUCCGGCAACAAGCGGUAAUAACUACUACUAUCAGAUGCACCUAGGUCGGAUUAACUAGUUGGUGGGGUAAAGGCAUACCAAGGCGACGCUCCGUACCUGGUCUGAGAGGAUGAUCAGUCACACUGUAACUGAGACACGGUCCAGACUCCUACGGGAGGCAGCAGUGGGGAAUAUUGGACAAUGGGCGAAAGCCUGAUCCAGCCAUGCCGCGUGUGUGAAGAAGGUCUUCGGAUUGUAAAGCACUUUAAGUUGGGAGGCGUUACCAACAGAAUAAGCACCGGCUAACUUCGUGCCAGCAGCCGCGGUAAUAC